rnacentral:rRNA from 1 species
GCCUGGAAACAGGCCCCCCUUCGGGAUCGGUUCACAGGUGGUGCAUGGUUGUCGUCAGCUCGUGUCGUGAGAUGUUGGGUUAAGUCCCGCAACGAGCGCAACCCUCGUUCCAUGUUGCCAGCGCGUUAUGGCGGGGACUCAUAGGAGACUGCCGGGGUCAACUCGGAGGAAGGUGGGGACGACGUCAAAUCAUCAUGCCCCUUAUGUCUUGGGCUUCACGCAUGCUACAAUGGCCGGUACAAAGGGUUGCGAUACGGUGAGGUGGAGCUAAUCCCAAAAAGCCGGUCUCAGUUCGGAUUGGGGUCUGCAACUCGACCCCAUGAAGUCGGAGUCGCUAGUAAUCGCAGAUCAGCAACGCUGCGGUGAAUACGUUCCCGGGCCUUGUACACACCGCCCGUCAAGUCACGAAAGUUGGUAACACCCGAAGCCGGUGGCCUAA